rnacentral:lncRNA from 1 species
ACAUUUCAACUUUUUAUUCUUUAAUCCUGCACAGCAGUGUCCAAUCCAACAUGCCAAAAGUUCCAUCAGAGCACAUGAAUUCUGCUUGGUCAUCAUCCUUGAAGGGACCUAUGUUUUCAUCCACUGGACAAAGAACUGGUUAUCCUUAUCACAGCGGGCAUGGCUCAUUUCUGGGUUCACAUCACGUUGGAUCCGCUCCAUCUGGUAUUCAACUAGAAAGCAAUUUUGGUUUUUCUACAGUCUCACAAGAAUCAUCCCAAAUAAGUCGAGCUGCAAUUGGAGCCACAAAUUUAGGUCGCAACAGUGGGAAUCAUGCCAUGAAUAUGGUUGCCCAGGGGGCUCUGAACAUGGGCGUUGCUUUUACAGGAAAUUUUUCUGAAGGUAGUUCUCCGAGUUCCAGGAUGAUGCCAAUGUCCAGAAAUUCUCCCAUGUUUUUCGGAACUGGUUCUUAUGGAGGCAUGGGAGCAACUGCAACUGAUGGAUUGAUGGACUGCUAUCGAAAUAGAAGAGCUGACAGUGGAAGCCAGAUGGAAGACAGAAGGCAGUAUCAACUUGAUUUGGAAAAGAUCAUCAAUGGGGAAGAUAAUAGGACUACUUUGAUGAUUAAAAAUAUCCCCAACAAGUAUGAACUGAUAACAAUUUCAAUAUCCAUUUUUUUUUUUGAAACUGCGGUUUCCUGCUGCAUUUUUAUUUUCUUUAUUUGAAGGUACACCUCAAAGAUGCUACUUAUGGCUAUUGAUGAAACUCACAAGGGUACAUAUGAUUUCCUCUAUCUGCCAAUUGAUUUUAAGGUGAGUUUACUGUAGAGGACAGUUAUAUACUUUUGUGCUUAACUCAAAAUUAUACACUGUGUGAACUCAAUACCCUCAACUCCUACUGCCUAGAAUAAGUGCAAUGUGGGGUAUGCUUUCAUCAACAUGGUGUCUUCUUCACACAUCAUCACCUUCUACGAGGUUCGAGUUUCUUUCCUUUGUACCUUUACUUUUGGGUCGUCUCUAUUAAAUAUCAUAUCACCUCAGGAUACUAAAAUAUGAGAGCAACUAAUGUUAAAGCUUGGGAACAUUUUACAAUUGCUAUUCUCUAAUCACCCUCACAAGCCACAUAAUCAUAGAUUUUGUUUAUUGAAAACUCCGGAAAUCUGUUCAGUGACAAAUGGACUUGUCUCUUGUAAAUCUGUGCAGGCAUUUAAUGGAAAGAAAUGGGAAAAGUUCAAUAGCGAAAAGGUUGCGUCUCUGGCAUAUGCGAGAAUCCAGGGACAGGUGGCUCUUGUUUCACAUUUCCAAAAUUCAAGUUUAAUGAAUGAAGACAAACGGUGCCGACCAAUUCUCUUCCAGUUAGAGGGCCAAGGGAUCAAAGAUCUGGUAUGUGAAACUAGUUACAAUCUUUUUCCACACUUCAUGACUUAGCACCUGUUUGAUAGGAUUAAAAUCUAUAUUUUAAAUUAAGUCAAAGUCAACAGUUAAUCUUAACAACAUAUUUCAAAGGAUUCACAACUUUUCAACUUUUCAACCACAUAUGUCAUCAAUUUUUAUCAAAAUGUACUAAAAUUUGAUUUUAAUUCCCAUCAAAUAGGGACUUAAUAAUGUUGAGAUCUAUAAUUUUCUAAGUAAGUAAAAGUAAAGUGAGUAAAAAUUUGUCCUACUAAUAAAUUUUGUCAUGUUUUCUAGUUAUAGAGUUUUAUUGACCAAUUAUUUCUCAAACUGUAUCUGAAGGAAAAAGUUUUGGUGGCUUUUUCUAUUAUUUUAUUACAUUACAUUUUAGUUUUUCAAGAAUAAUAUAAAAUCUAUGAACCUCUGGUUGAACACUAAAUAUUUAUCUUUCCAUUAUUAUUAUUAUUUUUUAAUUUCUCUUGCCAUUUGGUGAUCUGAUUUAAAAGGAUUUUUGCGUCUCUCAGGAACCUAGACAUACUAGUAACCUGAACAUCUUCAUACGUCAGCCUGAUGGAACUUAUGUUGGGGAUUCUCUGGACAGCCCAAAGAGUAAUCCAGAUGAGUAGCUGGAGAAAAGUGGACCACUCCCUUAAAGUGGAUGACUCCAAACUAGAAUUGGUGGACAGUAAAUGCUAACUCUCGUACAGCUUUUAUGUCGUAGUUUAUUGUAUUACCUGUGAACUGGAAUGAUAUUACUGGAGUGUCUGCUUUUCAACAUGGAUACUCCGUAUUAUCUUGGAAGAAACAUUUGACAGGGCAAAGGGAGUGUUCUGUUUAUAUGCACACCGGCAAAUGAUUUUAACAGGGCGAGGUAAUUAGAGUGAAGUUUAGCAUCAACUGAUAUGUGAAGUUCUCUCCUUUUUAUUUUGCUCCAUUUUUUGGUCCAGUUCUCACGACUGCUUAGCAGUCUUACUAAAUGUAUAGUAGUUUAUAGAGCUGGGGAGGGUCAGAAAUAUGUAUAGAAGGGAACUACAAAAAGGCCUGUGAAUUCUGAUUUUGUACACAGGAAACUGUGUAUGUGAUAUGAAUUUGCAUGACUUCUUUUGAUCCUUACCGGUUUACCUUAUAAAUUCUGGCUCUCUUUACAA